GCUGGUGGCGGGGCUGGUCUCGCGCCUGCCCGCUUUCGAGGCGGGCGCAGGUCUGUUCAGUCUGACCGACAGCC
rnacentral:tRNA from 1 species